rnacentral:rRNA from 1 species
CCUUGUACACACCGCCCGUCAAGCCACGAAAGCGGGGGGCACCCGAAGCCGCCGCGUGAACCGCAAGGACACAGGCGUCGAAGGUGACCUCCGUGAUUGGGACU